UGUGGUUUCGAGGGCUUUUGAGACUCCGGCAUCGCGAAAUCAACGCAUCAAUCAUCUUCGGUUGCACAACUGCAGGGAGGUGCAGUCCAACCAAUUGCAGCUUUUCCCAGAUGAUAAUACCAGUUGCCUUCUACCAAUAUGCUCAUUAGCACCAGUCCGAUGUAAAUUCUACUGCCUUGCUAUAUAAUCGCUAGGGUGAUUUUACGAGAUUUGCAACCUUGAACUCUGGUUUUUUAUUAUUGCCAAGUGCGGAUAAGGCCAAUAAUACUAACGAGAGUCCAAAAAUAAACAAGCGCCACAAAGAGCUGGAUCCGAGUCACAAAAACUCUCCUAAGCUUGGCCCAAUAAACAAUGGCUUUGGCCGGCGAUCGACACCCACCACACCACCACCAAAAUUGGUCGUGGUUCAUCUGCGUGGCAUCAUUACGAUCGUCAUCUGGCGCGGCUCGUCCGAUUGAGACUUGAAUUGAAGUCGAUAUUUCUGGGCCGAAGGUUGCGCUAUUAAGUAUACGCCGCAUGUGCUCGCCAAAAACCAAAAGCCAGACUAACGAUGAGAAGCAUCUCGGAAAAAAGUCAUUGUACUCCGCCAGGGAAUGAGCUCUGAAUAACCUGAUGGUUCCGGUCAUUAGGUCCCCGUUUAUUGCGGUUGGAUCGAUGGUCGGCAAAGGUGGAUAAACGGAGUAUAUCAAAUCGAUCGGAAGUCGCGGCCAAGUUCCUUCAACUUUGCGAUUAUGCAAUCGCAUUGAG
ensembl:ncRNA lncRNA:CR46142 long non-coding RNA:CR46142